rnacentral:rRNA from 1 species
AGAAUCAACGCUGGCGGCGUGCCUAACACAUGCAAGUCGAACGAGAAAGUGGAGCAAUCCAUGAGUAAAGUGGCGCACGGGUGAGUAACACGUGACUACCUACCCUUGAGUGGGGGAUAACCUAGGGAAACCUGGGCUAAUACCGCAUAAUACCUACGGGUCAAAGGAGCAAUUCGCUUAAGGAGGGGUCGCGGCCGAUUAGUUAGUUGGCGGGGUAAUGGCCCACCAAGACGAUGAUCGGUA